ensembl:lncRNA
AUUAUCUUCUUUUUGAAGUUUGUUGUAUAGACAUGCAUUAUGUCAUGGAAAGCAGGGAUGGCUUUUUUAAACAUUUUAAUAUAUUACGAAUAAAAAAAUUAUGUGUUGAAAAUUUAAAAAUAAAAAAAUAUUGUUUUUAAAAAACGACAUAGUUAAUCAUUUCCAAUGACCCGUAUGUAAAUUCCCUAAUGAGGAAGUAAAUUUUCCUUCCUUCUUAAGUUGGAAGUACAAACUGAUUUUGCUGUUUACACAGUACAGGAUAUUCCAGUAAAAAGCGAAAAUGUUACCGAACGUACUAGUCUGGAGACGUAUUUUAACAAAUUGAGGUGCUUUAAACUUAACAGUUGACACUCAAUUUCAAAACGCGGCUCUUCAUUUCACGAGACGCCGAACUGCAACAGCGACGCCAAACAGUGUCUGAUGCCUGCCUUCAAGAGGAUAGUGCAGAGAGUCCACUGUGACCUGUCAACUGUUUGCAACUGCAGCCAGAACCAAAGUAGACUCAGCCUCAGACGUCACGCCCACGGACCAUUGUCUGAAGGAGCAGAUGAUAACUGGGGGUUGAUUGAUGGAGCUGUCGCGCGCGUAUAGCUCACAACUGCACGUGCACGUUUUGCAGACAGCUACCUGUCACGCGCAACACUGACCUGUUUUCACAAUAUCAACAUUUAACCUGAAGGAUCGUUUAAGUCAGUCCAGUAACGAGACAUGUCUGAUUCAAGGUACAAGAUAUCAUGCAUAAAACAAUCAUAGAUAACUAAAACAUUGCUAGUUAAAUAGCCUAAGUCGAUUUCAAACAAAAAAGACGUAUAAGUCUAUUAAAUAGUUUCACCAAUAAAUAAUAACAGAAUGGCGGCUUUUUAUGUUUU